rnacentral:rRNA from 1 species
UACAGAGGUCUCAAGCGUUGUUCGGAUUCAUUGGGCGUAAAGGGUGUGUAGGUGGCGCGCUAAGUCGGGUGUGAAAUUUCGGAGCUUAACUCCGAAACUGCAUUCGAUACUGGCGUGCUUGAGGACUGGAGAGGAGACUGGAAUUCAUGGUGUAGCAGUGAAAUGCGUAGAGAUCAUGAGGAAGACCAGUGGCGAAGGCGGCUCGCUGGACAUGUAUUGACGCUGAGGUGCGAAAGCGUGGGGAGCAAACAGG